ACGACAGAUGGCUCCACUUCAGUGUUUUGUUCUCCGGUAUGGAUUCAGUGUCAGUAAGGGUCAUUGAUGAAUAUUUCUGUAUAUGUUUAUUACAAUUUUACGAAAAGAAAAAAUACAUACUAAACGCUUCAACCCUCACCUCAACGUGAUAAAGAAGUGUUCCAAUAUGACGUGUGUGUACCGCACAAUCGAAACAUCUGUUCACUGAGGCCUAAGAAAGUCAUCUUGAAAAAUGAUCUUUAACGAAUGUAACCAAGAUGGACUUCAUACAGUAUAUAUGAUACUGUAAGUCACCGUGGUUUUAAUAUGAGCUGAUGGACUAAUAAUUUGAUUUACUUUGUUGGUGAUCACAAACAAAAAAAAAUUGCUAGUAAAACAGACAAACAUAUUUCUUUGUUGCAAUAUGAGUAACAAAA